AAGGAACUGUCGCUCUCUAUGGACAGUGGCAAACUGAACCACUGUUUCUUCCUCCUGCAGUAAAUGGCAUUGUACCUAAGAAUGAGCGAGGUCAAGUGGAUGUCUGGUCCGAGAAGUGCCUUCCACCCGGUACAGUCCAUUUGAGAUUGCCAAGGUUGGUUCCUAUUGCUAAAAGGCUGCAAAUAGAUUUUUCACCUGCUAUGGUUGGAUUUGAAUUCCGAAAUGGUCGAUCUCUACCUGUUUAUGAGGGGAUUGUGGUGUGUACCGAGUUCAAGGAUGCAAU
rnacentral:misc_RNA from 1 species